rnacentral:lncRNA from 1 species
CAGCGGGAUGGCACAGCAAAGAGAGACUGCUACCAAGGUCUAAGCUUUCCACUUUUCAAGAAAAACAACCGUCCCUCAUUCCUGUAGUUCUCAUACCCUGCAAAGUUGUUAUAUUCACCCUUAAGACUUCACAAUUCUCAUUCAUUUAACUAAAGUGUAACAUAGCAGACUUAUUCUUUAUAUUUAGAGAAUUUGUGUCUUUUGUGAAGCUACCUGUCUAUAGUGGGAAGUAGAUUAAUGAAAAGUCCAAAUCUGUUGGGGAGGGUUUUAUUCUACUAUUGAUGAAAGGGGAUGUGGAUCACAGCUAGCCUUAGAAUUUGGGAUGGCACUCAAGUAGAAGUCUGGGAAGAAGUUACGCAGGGAACAAAAAUGACAUUGUUCACAGUCCCUGGGAAUUCUUAACAAUAAAGUUCUGUAAUUGAGACAGAAUUCCCAAAUAAAGUCAAGAGUAAAAUUCAGAUAG